rnacentral:lncRNA from 1 species
AGAGACCACCACAGCCUGUGAGAGUCUCCAGUGGACAACGGUUGUCUGAUUGAGACUCUUCCUGGUGUGCUCAGAAAAACCUGUACUUUUUUUGUUUCAAUUAGUUUUAUAGACAUUUCAAGCUGGGGCCUGCAUUUUUUUGUGCAACCCUGGGGUUCAACAAUUUGAAACUGCUUCACACCAAGAGCAGAGAAACUCGCUCUGUGGUUAUCACCUCAGAGAGACACAAUACCCAAAACCUGAGAACAUUCGCCUUGUUUUGUUGGAGUCAACACAUCUGCCAGGUUAUCUGUCUUCAGUCAACAUGGCUCAUAGAAAUCCAUGCUGAAUUAUUUUUUAGGAAGUUCGGUUUUGUUGACGAUGGAGUUAAAUGUUAUUCGUGUUAAAGUGAGUCUUUAAGAAGAUGGCCGGCUGUGUUUCUACAUAGUUUUGACAUCUGUCUUCAUUUCUCAUUUUUCCUCUAAGAUGUUCUGCACAUAUUUGUCAAUUUCUGUGGUCUGACUCAGAGCACAGGAAGUGUGGAGGAGCUUGACCGGAGAAAGAGGCUGAGAACUGCUUCUCUUACCAAGGACCUUCCCCAAGCCAGGCAUCUCCGGAGAUGGUAUGGAGCCUGGGGUAGCUCGGCCAGGCCUUUGAUCACCAGCGAUGCCAUUGCUCUUCCCCGUUUCGCGUCUGCUGUGGCUUGCUGCUGAGGCUGCUUUCAGACCUCUGGAAUCAGAAAAGGAGGUGACUAUAUCAGGUUGAAUGCCUUGAUGGUCUAGACGUGUGACACUUGCUGCAUUUAUGAGACUGGAGGUGGGGCCCCACCCAAGUUCUGCUUCCAGAGGAGGAGGCAAG